UACGUAGGGCGCAAGCGUUGUCCGGAAUUAUUGGGCGUAAAGAGCUCGUAGGCGGUCUGUCGCGUCUGCCGUGAAAACCCGAGGCUUAACCUCGGGCUGGCGGUGGAUACGGGCAGACUAGAGGUAGGUAGGGGAGAAUGGAAUUCCCGGUGUAGCGGUGAAAUGCGCAGAUAUCGGGAGGAACACCGGUGGCGAAGGCGGUUCUCUGGGCCUUACCUGACGCUGAGGCGCGAAAGCCAGGGGAGCGAACGGG
rnacentral:rRNA from 1 species